UAUUGCAGCCGGUGUUCCAGGAAAACAGAUCGAGACAUUGAACGCGUCAACCUGUUAUUGCGCUCAUGAAGUUGUCAGGGAGCCUCAAACGCUGCUCUCUCGCUGAAUGACACCUCAAUGAGCGCACACACUUCACAAGGCCGGCUUCCAGCUGUGCAAAGGCGAGGAGAAGGAAUCCUGCUUGCUACGUACCAAACGGUUAUUACUUCAUUACAGCCCAAGCUGAAAGCUGCAAUUAUUCAUCACUCAGAGGUGACCUUCUUACAAUCUGAACUCCAGCUUCUAAGACAAAUUGAACAAGCCCAAGCAUUUGGCAUGACGAGUUUUUGUCUUCUGGACAUACGCUGGACAAACGUCUUCAAACAGCCGCCUCGGCGUCUUGCUGCUCCUCAAUUCCCCGAGCAAACAGCCUAAUCAGCUGGCACUGGACACUGUGGAGAGAAG